GUGUUUCUGAGGAGUCCCACAAUAGGAUGAAACGGUUGUCUAUCAC
rnacentral:hammerhead_ribozyme from 1 species